GUGCUCCGUUUGGCAGUACAUAUAUUAAAGUUGGAGUGAUACAAAGAUUAGUGUGUCCCCCGCACAGGGAUGGCACAGAAAUUCAUGAGGUGUUCCUUUUUUUU